AACAACAACAACAACAACAAGAACGAAACGUUGUGCUUGGAAUAUUUUGUGAACGAAAAAAAAAAAAAUAGAUGAAAGUGGGCAUGAUCUUGAUUCGUCUUAGCAUCAGUCCUAAAACCACAACGUUACUUGAUUUUAAACUUCGGAAAUAGCCAAUCCCUUCCUACCUCUCAGAAUCAGUAUUACAACUACCACCACCAUGCUUCUACUCCAAAAAAACUAAACAAAUCAAAUGCUCAUACUUUGUGUGACUCAUCGCCCCUACGUCCUCUGCCACUGGAUAAGCCCCGCCCUUAUGAGACAAGGUUGAGCCUUGGCCACGCCUACACCCCACCACCACCGAGGUAAUGAACCGGCUGAGCAUAUGCUCUCAAAGAGGGUCAAAGUUCGCCGAGCUCUAAACGCAAACCAGAACGGAGGCUUGUCCUUCUUCUCGGAUAUAUACACUGGUCCAUGUUGCCCCGCCCACUUUCAUCAAGGAAUCCUGUAGCCCCGCCUCAAAAGCAAGAGAAACCAAAUCACGUGUCAAGGAAUCACCACGGCGAUGAUGACGACGACGACGACGACGAUGAUGAUGGCGUCGCCGGUUUUGAUAUCGAUUUUGGGUUUGUGUGCAUAACAGCAGGGGGUGAUGAAGCUGCUCUACCUUUCGAGUCUAAUUUUAUUUCAGAGACAAAAAAAUAAAUAAAUAUGGAGAAAUUCUAACAAAGAAAAGAAAACGAAGCUUAAAAAAAAAAGAAAAAAGAAAAAAAGAAAAAAGAAAGAAACGACUUUCAGGACUCCAGAACAAUGUUUUAAAAAAUUGGAGCUAUUUCUGUUGGUUUUUUUUUUUUGUUUGUUUGUUUGUUUUUGUUUUUUUGUUUUCCUUAAUCUUGAUGUUUUUUGUUCGUUCGUUCGUUCGUUCGUUCGUCCGUCAGUUUUAUGGUGCUUAACUGCUAUGUAAGAAAGAAAAAAAAAAAACAGCCGUAGUCACUUUUUUGACCAUGCGUGCAGUGUAUGUAAAAAAAAACAACAACAAAAAAAGCAAGAAAAAAAAACAAAACAACUCAAGACAAGAAUUUCACCUCCUUUUUCACCUCACGAAUAGUUUGUACCCAUACGCCAACGCGCCCUGUUUGUCUGUAUAUCUGUCCUCAUGUCCGUCCUUUUAUCCAGAUGAUGAAUUUACACCAACAACAAAAGAUAUGACGAUAGGAAUUUUUUUAACGUUUUUUUUUUUUUUUUUUAAUGAACGAAGACUCUGAAACAUAAAAAAAAAAAAAAGCAGGAAAAAUAAUGCAAAAGUGACUGAAAAUAUCUAUAUAUUAAAAAAAAAAAAAAAAAAAAAAAAAAAAAAAGCCCUGAAACACAAUCUACUCAUACCUCACACAACACGAGACUCAAACGAACUUGGGAGGAGCGCUUUAUCGGCGAGGCACUGUGUACGAGCGCGGCGAGUGUGUAUGUACGGAGACGUACGACGAGGUAAAAGCGCAGAAACGUCAGUCGUUAUCUCACGCGCGCGCACGCGCAUGCACACGCACGGGUUAGUCGAGCAUGGGGCUGGAGCUUAGCUAGGGAGUGGUCAUGCAAUGCAAAUAACUGCGACUGACUGCGAUCGGUGUGUACGCCUGCUUGUGUGUGUGUGUGUGUGUGUGUGAGACAUCGGAGAGCGUCUCAUGGACUUGAAUGUAGCUGACAGGACUGGGUUUCUAAGCGAGCCCGGUAAACCAGAACCUCACUUCAGGUCACCAGCAGAGUGGACUUUACUGUUGAGAAAAAAAAAAUAAAAUAAAUAAAUAUAUAUAUAUAUAUAUAUAUGUUACACAACAACAAACUGAGAAUCUAUUGUCUAUAAUCCGCCUGCAAGGUGCAAUUGUUCAUUUUUUGUCCUUUUUUUUUUACCUUGUUUGUUUUUAUGUUAAGUUUUUAUUCUGACCAUAAGCAAGGAUGUAAAUACAACAACAACAACAACAAAAAAAACAACCUCAAAUGAUUAUUUCAGUAUACGAUAUGUCAUGCAUAUGCAACACUCUGUGUGUGUAUGUAUGUAUAUAUAUAUAUAUAUAUAUAUAUAUAUAUAUAUAUAUAUAUAUAUAUAUAUAUAUAUAUUUAUAUAUACUGGACGUUCACGAUGCCAGGAAAAUCAUGACGAGCGAUUCCCACCACCGUGUAAAAACACCGUGCAUAAAUAACUGCAUACACAGUACGUGGCUCUCUACGACGGCUUCGUGCAUCAGGACGUGUGCUCGUGUGCACCGCGAAUGCGCACGUCGAACUUUUGUGAUGAUAAAAAAACAAAAAGAACAAGUGCCCCCUGUUGGUUCGUCGAUCCCCGUGCCUCGUCCCCUCACUCAGAGCCGCCGUGGACGCUUUCUGCCUUAGUGUGUUUGAUCGAAUGGAGGGAUUGAUAGAAAAGCGAGAGUCCCUUGUGUCGAUGUCGUCUGUGUCAUCACGUGAGUCGGAGCACCAAAGUUCCGAGUUCAGGAGAACCUUGCUAGCUACAUUUUUGCGAAACGUAUUUGACCAUCUUGACAAUAUUCAGCGACAUAGACCCGCUUGGACUGUGUUAAGCUACAAGUUUAUAUGGAAAC
ensembl:lncRNA